GAGCGGUAACAGAUCUAGCUUGCUAGGAUGCUGACGAGCGGCGGACGGGUGAGUAAUGCAUAGGAAUCUGCCCGAUAGUGGGGGAUAACCUGGGGAAACCCAGGCUAAUACCGCAUACGUCCUACGGGAGAAAGGGGGCUCCGGCUCCCGCUAUGGGAUGAGCCUAUGUCGGAUUAGCUAGUUGGUGAGGUAACGGCUCACCAAGGCCACGAUCCGUAGCUGGUCUGAGAGGAUGAUCAGCCACAUCGGGACUGAGACACGGCCCGAACUCCUACGGGAGGCAGCAGUGGGGAAUAUUGGACAAUGGGGGAAACCCUGAUCCAGCCAUGCCGCGUGUGUGAAGAAGGCCCUCGGGUUGUAAAGCACUUUCAGCGAGGAAGAACGCCUAGCGGUUAAUACCCGCUAGGAAAGACAUCACUCGCAGAAGAAGCACCGGCUAACUCCGUGCCAGCAGCCGCGGUAAUACGGAGGGUGCAAGCGUUAAUCGGAAUUACUGGGCGUAAAGCGCGCGUAGGUGGCUUGAUAAGCCGGUUGUGAAAGCCCCGGGCUCAACCUGGGAACGGCAUCCGGAACUGUCAAGCUAGAGUGCAGGAGAGGAAGGUAGAAUUCCCGGUGUAGCGGUGAAAUGCGUAGAGAUCGGGAGGAAUACCAGUGGCGAAGGCGGCCUUCUGGACUGACACUGACACUGAGGUGCGAAAGCGUGGGUAGCAAACAGGAUUAGAUACCCUGGUAGUCCACGCCGUAAACGAUGUCGACCAGCCGUUGGGUGCCUAGCGCACUUUGUGGCGAAGUUAACGCGA
rnacentral:rRNA from 1 species